AGUGGCGAACGGGUGAGUAUCACGUGAGAAACCAACCCCGGUCUUUGGGAUAACAGUUGGAAACGACUGCUAAUACCGAAUGCCGUCGUCGCCUCGCAUGGGGCGAUGACGAAAGGGCUACCGGAUCGGGACGGUCUCGCGGCCUAUCAGCUUGUUGGGGAGGUAACGGCUCACCAAGGCUUCGACGGGUAGCUGGUCUGAGAGGAUGAUCAGCCACACUGGGACUGAGACACGGCCCAGACUCCUACGGGAGGCAGCAGUGGGGAAUCUUGCGCAAUGGGCGAAAGCCUGACGCAGCAACGCCGCGUGCGGGAUAAAGGCCUUCGGGCUGUAAACCGCUUUUACCAGGAACGAAAAUGACGGUACCUGGAGAAUAAGGUGCGGCCAACUACGUGCCAGCAGCCGCGGUGACACGUAGGCACCGAGCGUUGUCCGGAUUUAUUGGGCGUAAAGAGCUCGUAGGCGGUUCAGUAAGUCGGGUGUGAAAACUCUGGGCUUAACCCAGAGACGCCACUCAAUACUACUUGACUAGAGUUCGGUAGGGGAGCAGGGAAUUCCUGGUGUACCGGUGAAAUGCGCAGAUAUCAGGAGGAACACCGAUGGCGAAGGCACUGCUCUGGGCCGAUACUGACGCUGAGGAGCGAAAGCGUGGGUAGCAAACAGGAUUAGAUACCCUGGUAGUCCACGCCGUAAACGGUGGGCACUAGGUGUGGGUUCCAACCAA
rnacentral:rRNA from 1 species